UUGGCGUAUAAAUUUCAUGCUUGAACUGCUACGAGGGCUUGUAGCCGUUAAAGCAUGAAAUUUAUACGCCAA
rnacentral:miRNA from 1 species